rnacentral:tRNA from 1 species
GUCAGGUUGGCUGAGAGGUUAAAGCGUCAGAUUCAAGUUCUGAUUCUCAUAAAAUGUAAAGAGAGCGCGGGUUCGAAUCCCGCACCUGACA